rnacentral:rRNA from 1 species
GAUGAACGCUGGCGGCGUGCCUAAUACAUGCAAGUCGAGCGAACAGACGAGGAGCUUGCUCCUCUGACGUUAGCGGCGGACGGGUGAGUAACACGUGGAUAACCUACCUAUAAGACUGGGAUAACUUCGGGAAACCGGAGCUGAUACCGGAUAAUAUAUUGAACCGCAUGGUUCAAUAGUGAAAGACGGUUUUGCUGUCCCUUAUAGAUGGAUCCGCGCCGCAUUAGCUAGUUGGUAAGGUAACGGCUUACCAAGGCGACGAUGCGUAGCCGACCUGAGAGGGUGAUCGGCCACACUGGAACUGAGACACGGUCCAGACUCCUACGGGAGGCAGCAGUAGGGAAUCUUCCGCAAUGGGCGAAAGCCUGACGGAGCAACGCCGCGUGAGUGAUGAAGGUCUUCGGAUCGUAAAACUCUGUUAUUAGGGAAGAACAAAUGUGUAAGUAACUAUGCACGUCUUGACGGUACCUAAUCAGAAAGCCACGGCUAACUACGUG